ACUGCGAAUGGCUCAUUAUAUAAGUUAUCGUUUAUUUGAUAGUACCUUACUACUUGGAUAACCGUGGUAAUUCUAGAGCUAAUACAUGCUAAAAAUCCCGACUUCGGAAGGGAUGUAUUUAUUAGAUUAAAAACCAAUGCCCUCUGGGCUCUCUGGUGAUUCAUGAUAACUUCUCGAAUCGCAUGGCCUUGCGCCGGCGAUGGUUCAUUCAAAUUUCUUCCCUAUCAACUUUCGAUGUUUGGGUAUUGGCCAAACAUGGUCGCAACGGGUAACGGAGGGUUAGGGCUCGACCCCGGAGAAGGAGCCUGAGAAACGGCUACUACAUCCAAGGAAGGCAGCAGGCGCGCAAAUUACCCAAUCCCGACACGGGGAGGUAGUGACAAUAAAUACUGAUACAGGGCUCUUUCGGGUCUUGUAAUUGGAAUGAGUACAAUUUAAAUCCCUUAACGAGGAACAAUUGGAGGGCAAGUCUGGUGCCAGCAGCCGCGGUAAUUCCAGCUCCAAUAGCGUAUAUUAAAGUUGUUGUGGUUAAAAAGCUCGUAGUUGAACCUUGGGCCUGGCUGGCCGGUCCGCCUCACCGCGUGUACUGGUCCGGCCGGGCCUUUCCCUCUGUGGAACCUCAUGCCCUUCACUGGGCGUGACGGGGAAACAGGACUUUUACUGUGAAAAAAUUAGAGUGCUCCAGGCAGGCCUAUGCUCGAAUACAUUAGCAUGGAAUAAUGAAAUAGGACGUGCGGUUCUAUUUUGUUGGUUUCUAGGACCGCCGUAAUGAUUAAUAGGGACAGUCGGGGGCAUCAGUAUUCAAUUGUCAGAGGUGAAAUUCUUGGAUUUAUUGAAGACUAACUACUGCGAAAGCAUUUGCCAAGGAUGUUUUCAUUAAUCAGGAACGAAAGUUAGGGGAUCGAAGACGAUCAGAUACCGUCGUAGUCUUAACCAUAAACUAUGCCGACUAGGGAUCGGACGAUGUAAAUAAUUGACUCGUUCGGCACCUUACGAGAAAUCAAAGUGU
rnacentral:rRNA from 1 species